UACAGAGGGGCAAGCGUUAUUCGGAAUUAUUGGGCGUAAAGGGCGCGUAGGCGGCCUGACAAGUGGAUGGUGAAAUCCCUCGGCUUAACCGAGGAACUGCCAUCCAGACUUGUUUGGCUUGAGACCGGGAGAGGUGAGUGGAAUUCCCAGUGUAGCGGUGAAAUGCGUAGAUAUUGGGAGGAACACCAGUGGCGAAGGCGGCUCACUGGACCGGUAUGACGCUGAUGCGCGAAAAGCGUGGGGAGCAAACGGG
rnacentral:rRNA from 1 species